UUAUUAUUUUACUCCUUGGAAACACUUCUUGGGGCUGACUUUUGAUGAUAGUGAUACUUUGGUGCCACCUUGUGACAAAAUCCUGAACCACAACUUGAACAUUGCCAAGCAGGAAAAUGGGAACAAGGGGCUGAUGACCUACAGAACUUUCUGGAAGUCAGGAUGGAAUGGGGAAAACUCCUCAGUGAGUCCAAGGUGUGGAAGAGUAUGCAGAUGCAUUUCCAGUGUGGAAGACAAGCCUGCAUUGUGGUUGCCAGAAGCACCUGACAUCAACAUGUCUACCAUGACUUUUAAUAGAAACAGACCUGCCUUGGUAUGGAGAGCAGGGUCCCACUUUUAGCUCUUCAUGCCAGUAGCUGAGCUCUUUUCAGGUGCUUGAAGAAGGCAGGUUAUGAGGAUCUGAGUCUUAAAAUCUCCUGAAUCUUCUACACCAGAUUCAAGUGCAGCAAUCCCCAGGAGAUCCUAAUACUUCACAUGCCUGGUGGGAUAUGAAUUUUGGUCCAAGUGAGUUCAUAGAUGAAAAAAAACAUGUUGUGGAGUAGCUCCUGUGAGGUUCACAAACUAACCUAAAAGAAAAGCUUCUUUGAUCUCAUGGGAGAAGAGGUUUAGCAGGUGGAAUUUCAUUCCAUCAGCAGCUACAUGUUGUGUAGUAGCCCUUGAGGGCCAUCUUAAGGAAAUCCUCUUUUGUUUGAAAGAAGUGAGUUAUUCAGCUUGACUAGGAUUU
rnacentral:lncRNA from 1 species